UCCUACGGGAGGCAGCAGUGGGGAAUAUUGCACAAUGGGCGCAAGCCUGAUGCAGCCAUGCCGCGUGUAUGAAGAAGGCCUUCGGGUUGUAAAGUACUUUCAGCGAGGAGGAAGGCGUUAAGGUUAAUAACCUGGCGAUGACGUACUCGCAGAA
rnacentral:rRNA from 1 species